rnacentral:rRNA from 1 species
GACGAACGCUGGCGGUGUGCUUAACACAUGCAAGUCGAACGGUAAGGCCCUUUCGGGGGUACACGAGUGGCGAACGGGUGAGUAACACGUGAGUAACCUGCCCUCAUCUCUGGGAUAACAGUCGGAAACGGUUGCUAAUACUGGAUAUGAGCUUGCAAGGCAUCUUGUGGGUUGGAAAGAUUUUUUUUGGUUGGGGAUGGACUCGCGGCCUAUCAGCUUGUUGGUGAGGUAGUGGCUCACCAAGGCUUCGACGGGUAGCCGGCCUGAGAGGGCGACCGGCCACAUUGGGACUGAGAUACGGCCCAAACUCCUACGGGAGGCAGCAGUGGGGAAUAUUGCACAAUGGACGGAAGUCUGAUGCAGCAACGCCGCGUGCGGGACGACGGCCUUCGGGUUGUAAACCGCUUUCAAUUGUGACGAAGCCUUUUUGUGACGGUAGCAGUAGAAGAAGCACCGGCUAACUACGUG